GACGAACGCUGGCGGCGUGCUUAACACAUGCAAGUCGAACGGAAAGGCCCUGCUCUUGUGGGGUGCUCGAGUGGCGAACGGGUGAGUAACACGUGAGUAACCUGCCCUUGACUUUGGGAUAACUUCAGGAAACUGGGGCUAAUACCGGAUAGGAGCUCCUGCUGCAUGGUGGGGGUUGGAAAGUUUCGGCGGUUGGGGAUGGACUCGCGGCUUAUCAGCUUGUUGGUGGGGUAGUGGCUUACCAAGGCUUUGACGGGUAGCCGGCCUGAGAGGGUGACCGGCCACAUUGGGACUGAGAUACGGCCCAGACGCCUACGGGAGGCAGCAGUGGGGAAUAUUGCACAAUGGGCGGAAGCCUGAUGCAGCAACGCCGCGUGCGGGAUGACGGCCUUCGGGUUGUAAACCGCUUUCGCCUGUGACGAAGCGUGAGUGACGGUAAUGGGUAAAGAAGCACCGGCUAACUACGUG
rnacentral:rRNA from 1 species